GCAGUGGGUGUAGCAGAAACAAAAGAUUGCAGGUGUUUUACAUGGAGAUAAACUUCUAAGAGCUAAUACCCUACUUUUAAUCAGAUCUCUGGGACCCCAACCUUCAAACCACAUAAAUUCAGCAGCAAAAUAGUACAUUCUGAGGUUGAACUUUCUCCUCUGCAGGAAGAAGAGAGGAACCUGGUAGCUGGUUUGGUCCAAGCAAGGUGCUUUCCCUGUGCUCUGCUGGAGGCAAAAACUCCGUGAACUGAAAAUAGCCAAGAAAACAACUAUAAUUUCCUCCUUGCUUCCUACAAAGGAUUGAACAAAAAUGCUCAGGCCCUCCCGGGCGAUCAUAAAGAAGUUUAAAAUUGCAAAUAUUAUUAAAUACCUGCUUCUUGCUGUUUUAAUGGUGAUUCAAACAUUGAAGAAGAAAGUUUCUGAGCAGCGAUCCACAGAACUUUCUCAAACUGAGCAGAACUUUGGAGUAGAAGGUAAAAGAUUAAAGAAAAUACCUGUUGAGAUGUUGCAGCAUGGAAUGUUCUUGGGAACAUCAGGCUACUUGGGGAUAGAUUAUCUGAUGAAACGAAUAGCAACCAUGGGAUUUGGGUUUGUGCGUGCAUGCAUGCCUGUGUGCCUGUGUGCUGUGUGUGUGUGUAUGUUUGGUACUUAAGAAAUUGAGGAGUAGCCUUUUUUUCUCCUGCUAAAUAUGAUCAGCCCCUGGCAAAAACCUUAGCCUUCUGUGGAACUGAGUUUGUGAAUUAAGGGACCCAAAGCACAAAUGUCUCUUUUGAGGUUAGUGUCAUAUUGCAAUCUCUUCCAGUUCCAAGUAAGAUCAACAGUCACACUGUGUUCCAGACAACAACCCCAAAGUGGAAUUGGGUUAUAGGAAACCAUGCUUAUUUCUUUCUUUGCUUUAUGCCUUUGUGGAUCUGACUUCCACACACUGAGCAGCCACUGCCCGGGACUUGCCUAGCUGGAGGGAUUCACCCAGUCUCUACCAUUUCCUCUUCCUCAACUGCCUUUUGGGAUUUACAUUUGUCUUUUCCUCCUAUGGGCCAUCAAGUAUGCAAAUUCACUUGGGUUUAUC
rnacentral:lncRNA from 1 species